AUACAUACAAAAAAGACUUGUCUUAAAAUGUGCUCGUAACUCGGCAAAUCAUUUUUCAAGUCUCCACAUCUAUAGUAACUAGCUAGGAGAGACAGAUAAUCCCGAUAUAGUUAUAUAUACCACGAAGCACAACGCGUUUAUUUGUGCGCGGUCGCUAGGCCACGUCCAUGUACGCGCAUGCGCUGUGUCGAUUCAGCUAUACCGCGAUUCCAUUUACGGUAAAACGCGACUUGUUAGCGCGCGCACGAAUGAUAAUUAGCUAGCCCGUACAAAGCCGGCUACGUCGUCUGAAUCUCUCGAUACGUUCUUGUAAUAAGGGGAAACUAAAAAGAAGAAAGAGAAGGAAAGCCCAGAAGGACAGGAGAAAAGCUGGAUUAUGUUCGUUUCCGUGUCGAGGUCACAGGUUCGUUCUUUUCUCUGGAAAUCGGAACAGUGUUCGAUGUUUCGAAUUCAUUUGUCUCGGGACCAACUUGUUAACCUUUUUUUCGUUGGCAUAGUUUUCACCGCCAUUCUGUCCAUCAACGUCCGUUUUUAAAACCUCUAUUAUCGAGAAUCUAUGCAAGUGGGAAACGUAGCGUAUGCGCAAUGGCCGUUCAUAUUACCUCUGAAAGUGCUGUUGUAUUUUAUGAACGCAUGAUUUGUAGCCUCUGAUGAUUAUCAAAGCGUGUGUACGCGAUUUUCCAUAGAAAAUUAAUUAAAAUCCUCGACAUGAUGGAAAAAACUGAGCACGAGUAUAAUCCGCUGGGAACAUGUAGAGGGUUGGACGACGGGCUCGAAAUUAAUUUGUCUGUUCCCAGUAUCAAUUUCGAGUAUCAUAGCUGCGAUCCAAGCGGCAAUAUCAAUUGGACUCCUCUCGUUGGACAAUACGACAGACGAAGAGAGAAAGAGAGAGUCUUUUAAUUAGCCAGCGCGGAGCACAAGUACUCACCAGCAAUAACAGAAAACUAAAUGCACGCGCAUAUAUAGCAUAUGUAUAGGCUUUUUUACGAUCUACAGCUACGAUGGUAUAUCGGAUGUAUUUGAUACGAGUUUCUUCUCAUCUUUCGA